UAGGGAAUCUUCGGCAAUGGACGAAAGUCUGACCGAGCAACGCCGCGGGAGUGAAGAAGGUUUUCGGAUCGUAAAACUCUGUUGUUAGAGAAGAACAAGGACGUUAGUAACUGAACGUCCCCUGACGGUAUCUAACCAGAAAGCCACGGCUAACUACGUGCCAGCAGCCGCGGUAAUACGUAGGUGGCAAGCGUUGUCCGGAUUUAUUGGGCGUAAAGCGAGCGCAGGCGGUUUCUUAAGUCUGAUGUGAAAGCCCCCGGCUCAACCGGGGAGGGUUAUUGGAAACUGGGAGACUUGAGUGCAGAAGAGGAGAGUGGAAGUCCAUGUGUAGCGGUGAAAUGCGUAGAUAUAUGGAGGAACACCAGUGGCGAAGGCGGAUCUCUGGUCUGUAACUGCCGCUGAGGCUCGAAAGCGUGGGGAGCAAACAGG
rnacentral:rRNA from 1 species